rnacentral:RNase_P_RNA from 1 species
AGGCGAUCGUGCGGCAGCGGCGUAUUAUAUUAUUUGCGCUGAGGAAAGUCCGAGCAUCGCAGAGCAGGGUAGUUGAUAACGUCAACCGAGGGCGACCUCCGAGCCAGUGCAACAGAAAUAUACCGCCGUGAAAACGGUAAGGGUGGAAAGGCGAGGUAAGAGCUCACCGGAGUGAUCGUGAGAUCACUGCCAUGUAAACCUUACCCGAUGCAACGCCAAUGGCAGCAUAACAGUCAAUGGCUGCUCGUCAGGCUGUUUGUUGUAGGCGGCUGGAGCUUCGCGGCGACGCGGAGCCAAGAUAGAUUGCCGCACUUGACAGAACUCGGCUUACAGAUCGGCUCG